rfam:Gossypium hirsutum cultivar TM-1 chromosome 15, whole genome shotgun sequence
AACCCAUGCAACGACCAUUUUCUAUUUAACUACUUGAAUCGUUCUUAUGCUUUAUAUAAUGUUUCAUUCUCAGAUUGCUGAAAGGAUGUAAUAUUGUUCAUGAGCUU